rnacentral:rRNA from 1 species
GAUGAACGCUAGCGACAGGCUUAACACAUGCAAGUCGAGGGGCAACGGGGGUGAGCAAUCAUCUGCCGGCGACCGGCGCACGGGUGAGUAACACGUAUGCAACCUGCCCGUCACAGGGGGAUAAUCGAGAGAAAUCUCGUCUAAUACCGCAUACACUCUUCGGGAGGCAUCUCCGGGAGAGGAAAGAUUAAUUGGUGACGGAUGGGCAUGCGGGACAUUAGCUGGGUUGGCGGGGGUAACGCCCGACCAAGGCGACGAUGUCUAGGGGUUCGUGAGAGGAAGGUCCCCCGACCACUGGUACUGAGACACGGACCAGACUCCUACGGGAGGGCAGCAGUGAGGAAUAUUGGUCAAUGGGCGAGAGCCUGAACCAGCCAAGUCGCGUGAGGGAAGACGGUCCUACGGGAUUGUAAACC